AUGCACCACUCGCCCACGCUGGGCAUGAGCGCGCUUUCCACACCCAACCGACGACUGUUCGCGACGUUUUUUUGCC
rnacentral:sRNA from 1 species